rnacentral:tRNA from 1 species
GUGGCUCAGUGGUAGAGUGCUUGCCUUGCAUGCAUGAGGUCCUGGGUUUGAUUCUCAGC